rnacentral:rRNA from 1 species
AUUGAACGCUGGCGGCAGGCUUAACACAUGCAAGUCGAGCGAGCGGCGGGCGGGUGAAUAAUGUCUGGGAAACUGCCUGAUGGAGGGGGAUAACUACUAGAAACUGUCGCUAAUCCCGCAUACCCUCAGGUGUGCCCAGAUGGGAUUAGCUUGUAGGUGGUGUAAUGGCUCACCGAGGCGACGAUCCCUAGCUGGUCUGAGAGGAUGAUCAGCCACACUGGAACUGAGACACGGCCCAGACUCCUACGGGAGGCAGCAGUGGGGAAUAUUGCACAAUGGGCGCAAGCCUGAUGCAGCCAUGCCGCGUGUGUGAAGAAGGCCUUAGGGUUGUAAAGUACUUUCAGUGAGGAGGCGUUACCCGCAGAAGAAGCACCGGCUAACUCCGUGCCAGCAGCCGCGGUAAUUC